rnacentral:misc_RNA from 1 species
UGCUAUUCUAAAUAUGAAUUAUUUUUGUUCGGUGUAAAGGAUUUGUAUUAGUUUAAACUUUUCGUCUUGAUGAUCACUGAGAGCAAGGAUAGUAUUACAUUGUGUGUAUCUACACACUAGGAGGCAACAAAAAUGGAAAACGGUAAAGUAAAAUGGUUUAACAGCGAAAAAGGCUUCGGAUUCAUCGAGCGUGAAGGUGGAGAAGACGUAUUCGUUCAUUUCUCAGCUAUCCAAGGCGAAGGUUUCAAAUCUCUUGAAGAAGGUCAAUCAGUUACUUUUGACGUUGAACAAGGUAACCGUGGACCACAAGCUGCUAACGUUCGUAAAGCUUAAUUAAAAACAACAGAUGGACUCCAUUUUGGAGUCUGUUUUUUU